AAGCUGUUAACUAGGCAGAAAGCGAAACAGUUCACCGGCUUCCAUUGGCAAAAGGCGAUGGAUGAUGAGUGAACGGCCGGGGGAAGCUGACAAAGCAAUUUGCAGGCGAGAAAGGUGAUUUUCAAAUUGGUUCAUUGUGCCUUGGGGUCUCUUCGCAGCCUUAUUGAAAUCGAAUUGAAUUGAAUGGAAUGAAAUUGAUUUAUUUGUUUGUUUGCCUGUUUGUUGGCUGGCGCGAAAUUUGCAUAUAAGUGCGAUAUAAUUGAUUAGAAAGUGUGUGUGUGAGAAAGAGCCUAUCGAUAGGAGGAGUUAUUGGUUUAUAUGUACAUACAUAGGAUGGAUCCACGCACUUUCGCUGGAAAGGCAAAUGCGGGCCAGAAAACCGCUUUGAAUGUGCAUAUUUUUCAAAGAAUUUUCCUGGCCGUGCCGGCAAAUCGCUAUUAAAGGCAGCGGCGAGAGGCCUCCAAUGAUGGGGAAAAACUUGAAGUGAAAUAAAAAGCGGACGGGCCGAGAAGCACAGCUGUCAGGCCGGGCGGGCACUCGAAAUAAUUUUCGUGGAAAUGUAUCAACAAGAAGAAAAAUGCCGGGCAGAACGAGACCUUCCACCAUUUCAGCCCAUCAUCAUCUCUCUGGCACACCACGCAAAGUUCUGUUCUUUUGUUUGAAGGCCGGCAAUGGAAGAAACUCAUAAGAAAAACGGGACGAGUCUGGGCGGCAUAAUUUCGGCAACUGUCUAAAGUAAAGUGGAAAGCGACUUGUCACUUGCCUUUCUUAUGAAAUACGUCAGCGCGAGUUGGAAAAACGCGGCCCCAAUGAGCGUAGAAGCUGGAAAAACUUCAAGUGGUCUGUCAGCAACAUUUCAAACAAAGCGUCGGCGAUCCAGCAACACUAAAAAACACUAGAAACACCAGCAAAACCAACUGAAACAGUCCUCGUCGGUGACAGCAACGAGAUAAUACACUGGAAAAUAAAUAGUGCACUUCGCAAAAUGAUUUUUGCAAAUGUUGUUAAAAUUAUGUCGUUAUUGUUUUUAUUUUAUUAUUAUGUUCUAACAUAUCAAACUAUAGUCUAAAAUGUCCAAUAAAAUAUACCUUUAUUAUAUAGGUGGGUAUUUUUUCCACUGUAGGAAACUAAAACGAAACUUGUUUGCAUCCUCUAACGACGCUGUGCAUUUUGUUCACACUCACACUCAGUCACAUUUGUCAGCCAUUGAGGAGCCGAUGUGGCACUGCCUCAAAGCUUUUCCCCCCAGGAAACCCGUGUGGCAUACAGAACAGUUCGACAUUUCAGCUGGCAGGCAGAGUGCAGAAUGCUGAAUGCAGAAUGCCGAAUGCAGAUGGAGAUGGAGAUGCAUUGCAGUGGGAGCAGGCCCCAACAAGCUCGUAAAGCACAAUGAAUGCUGGAUGGGAUUCGCAGAGACAAAGCCAGCAGUUUGGUAGGGGAAUGCAUAAUAAGUCUUGCAAAUCUUGAGGUGGAAAAUCUCGUUAAGUACGGAUAUAUGUCACCGAGGCUAUGAGCCACGUGAGUCUUGUGAAAGUAUAGAAAUCUGCAC
ensembl:ncRNA lncRNA:CR44632 long non-coding RNA:CR44632